rnacentral:snRNA from 1 species
ACACUUGCCUGGCGGGGGAGAUACCAUGAUCACGAAGGUGGUUUUCAAAGGGCAAGGCUUAUUGUACUCCAAAUGUGCUGACCUCUCCCCUGGGAAUAAAAAAGCAGGUUUUAUUGGCAUCAUCGAUGGCCACAUUUUUUGUAUAUAUAUUUUAUUGUAAAAAUAC